rnacentral:rRNA from 1 species
UACGUAGGGUCCGAGCGUUGUCCGGAAUUACUGGGCGUAAAGAGCUCGUAGGUGGUUUGUUAAGUCUGUUGUGAAAGCCCCGGGCUCAACCUGGGAAUGGCAAUGGAUACUGGCAGGCUAGAGUGCGGUAGAGGGUAGUGGAAUUCCCGGUGUAGCGGUGAAAUGCGUAGAGAUCGGGAGGAACACCAGUGGCGAAGGCGGCUACCUGGACCAGCACUGACACUGAGGCACGAAAGCGUGGGGAGCAAACAGG